GAUAGGCUGUGAUGAUUCCCAUGGUAAAAGGUCAGUUGCUAAAGGGAUUGCAGACUCAUGGAUCGAUUUAGAAUUUUGGUUUUCCAUAAGGUAAGAGUAAAGAAAAAUAAAUAAAGAAUAUAAAAGAUAAGAAAAGAUAAAAGUAUAGAUAAAAGCUAAUAGCAAGACACAUGUUAUCUCAGCAACCGUCUUUCUCCCCGGCAACGGCGCCAGAAAUGCUUGUUGAUAUUUGGGAACGCAAUAAGGAAUUGAUCCGCAAGCGCACGGAUAUCGGUGAGCACUUCACCCGGGAGGUUAUCCAGAGUAUCGUAUUUAUUUUUUUUACCACUAGGAGAAAGAGUGCAUCUGACUAACCGGUCUAUUACUACUAACCUUUAGGCACAAAGAAUGUCUUUCGAUGUG
rnacentral:lncRNA from 1 species